GACGAACCGUGCGAACGUUGUUCGGAAUCACUGGGCUUAAAGGGCGCGUAGGCGGUUCAUCAAGUCAGGGGUGAAAUCUUUCGGCUCAACCGGAAAAGUGCCCCUGAUACUGGUGAUCUCGAGGGAGGUAGGGGUCCGCGGAACUUCUGGUGGAGCGGUGAAAUGCGUUGAUAUCAGAAGGAACGCCGGUGGCGAAAGCGGCGGACUGGAUCUCUUCUGACGCUGAGGCGCGAAAGCUAGGGGAGCAAACGGG
rnacentral:rRNA from 1 species